rnacentral:rRNA from 1 species
AAACCGUUCAGGGGUAAACCUGAGAAACCCGAAAGAUCGAUCGGGGAGAUUCAUCGUUGUCGCGUCGUUGGCUUCGCCGCGGCUCGCGAUGUCGCGGGCCACGCGCCCGCGGCACGCGGUCGCGGUGCACGUCCGACGACGCCGGCGUGCACUUCUCCCCUAGUAGGACGUCGCGACCCGUUGGGUGUCGGUCUACGGCCCGGUGCGGAUGCCUGUUCGUGCUGCGUUCACGCGCAGUCUCACGUACAGACCCCCGGUCGCCCGGCCGGCUGCCCGGCGGUACACGCACGGUAUUGAGUCGCAAAAAUUUUGAACUGCGUCGGGCCCGCCGCAAGCGCGGUCAGCGAUUCCCGGUGGUUCGGACCUAGCGCCGUCCCCGGGCCUGGCCAGCUGUUGGCAUAGGCGGUGUCCUCUGACUGGCUCACGAACGAAAAUACCGGUCGGCGACGCUAUUGCUUUGGGUACUUUCAGGA